UUGCUUGCUUUGCUUCUCUUUUUCUCGGCAGGUUCUGUUCUGGGAACCGGGCUUGUUAAAAAUCACUGCUGCGGUUCUGGGCCUGGGGUCAUCAUGCUGGCAUCGCGAACAAAACCAUUUCCUGCUCUCUCCCUGCCCUCCCUGGCAAGGGAGAGCCACGGUCCAGGGGCCUGAACCAUCUCCGGCUCCUGACACGGUGCUCAGCACAGACUCGACACUCGAGAAACUGUCUGCAGAUACUGACUGACCACUGGAAUGUCUCGAGAAAAAGAUCUAGCGUGACAAACACCAUGAUGCUGAGGUGCGCCAUGUCUGGGAAAUGAGGCUGGGGCUUGGCCCGUUUUUCUUUUUCACUCUAGAGUAAACAAUAUAUUAAAA